rnacentral:rRNA from 1 species
UUACCCAGGCUUGAACAGCGAGUGACCAGCGACGAAAGUUGCCUUCCGCAAGGACACUCGUAGAGGUGCUGCAUGGCUGUCGUCAGCUCGUGUCGUGAGAUGAAAAAAAAAAGUCCCGCAACGAGCGCAACCCUUGUUUGCUGUUGCCAUCACGUUAUGGUGGGCACUCUGCAAAGACUGCCGGUGAUAAACCGGAGGAAGGUGGGGAUGACGUCAAGUCAGCAUGGCCUUUAUGUCUGGGGCUACACACGUGCUACAAUGGCCGGUACAAACCGUCGCAAAACCGCAAGGUGAAGCUAAUCGGAUAAAGCCGGUCUCAGUUCGGAUAGCCCUCUUCUUUUUUCGCCUGCUUGAAGUUGGAAUCGCUAGUAAUCGCGGAUCAGC